rnacentral:rRNA from 1 species
CCUACGGGAGGCUGCAGUGGGGGAUAUUGCACAAUGGAGGAAACUCUGAUGCAGCGACGCCGCGUGAGGGAAGACGGUCUUCGGAUUGUAAACCUCUGUCUUUGGGGAAGAAAAUGACGGUACCCAAAGAGGAAGCUCCGGCUAACUACGUGCCAGCAGCCGCGGUAAUACGUAGGGAGCGAGCGUUGUCCGGAAUUACUGGGUGUAAAGGGAGCGUAGGCGGGCGAGAAAGUUGAAUGUUAAAUCUACCGGCUUAACUGGUAGCUGCGUUCAAAACUUCUUGUCUUGAGUGAAGUAGAGGCAGGCGGAAUGCCUAGUGUAGCGGUGAAAUGCUUAGAUAUCACGAAGAACCCCGAUUGCGAAGGCAGCUUACUAAACUGUGACUGACAUUGAUGCUCGAAAGUGUGGGUAUCAAACAGGAUUAGAUACCCCAGUAGUC